UACGGAGGGGGCUAGCGUUGUUCGGAAUUACUGGGCGUAAAGCGCACGUAGGCGGCUUGUCACGUCGGGUGUGAAAGACCGGGGCUUAACUCCGGUUCUGCAUUCGAUACGGGCUAGCUAGAGUGUGGUAGGGGAGAUCGGAAUUCCUGGUGUAGCGGUGAAAUGCGCAGAUAUCAGGAGGAACACCGGUGGCGAAGGCGGAUCUCUGGGCCAUUACUGACGCUGAGGAGCGAAAGCGUGGGGAGCGAACAGG
rnacentral:rRNA from 1 species